GCCGGUGUAGCUCAACUGGUUAGAGCGUACGACUCAUAAUCGUGAGGUUUGGAGUUCAAGUCUCCACACCGGCA
rnacentral:tRNA from 1 species